UGCCAGCCGCCGCGGUAAUACGGAGGGUGCAAGCGUUGCUCGGAAUCACUGGGCGUAAAGCGGGCGCAGGCGGCACGUCAGGUCGGGUGUGAAAGCCCGGGGCUCAACCCCGGAACUGCAUCCGAAACCGGCGAGCUUGAGUACGAGAGAGGGAAGCGGAAUUCCUGGUGUAGAGGUGAAAUUCGUAGAUAUCAGGAGGAACAUCUGCGGCGAAGGCGGCUUCCUGGCUCGAUACUGACGCUCAUGCCCGAAAGCGUGGGGAGCAAACAGGAUUAGAUA
rnacentral:rRNA from 1 species